CCUACGGGGGGCAGCAGUGGGGGAUAUUGCACAAUGGGGGAAACCCUGAUGCAGCGACGCCGCGUGGGUGAAGAAGCGCCUCGGCGCGUAAAGCCCUGUCAGCAGGGAAGAAAAUGACGGUACCUGAAGAAGAAGACCCGGCUAACUACGUGCCAGCAGCCGCGGUAAUACGUAGGGGGCAAGCGUUAUCCGAAUUUACUGGGUGUAAAGGGGGCGCAGACGGCGAUGCAAGCCAGGGGUGAAAGCCCGGGGCCCAACCCCGGGACUGCUCUUGGAACUGCGUGGCUAGAGUGCAGGAGGGGCAGGCGGAAUUCCUGGUGUAGCGGUGAAAUGCGUAGAUAUCAGGAGGAACACCGGUGGCGAAGGCGGCCUGCUGGACUGCAACUGACGUUGAGGCCCGAAAGCGUGGGGAGCAAACAGGAUUAGAUACCCUAGUAGUC
rnacentral:rRNA from 1 species